UAUAGAGGUCACAAUUUUUAUCCAAUUUUGUUGAAACUUGAAAUGUAAGUUUAUAACUCACAGAUCUCGGUUCCUUUCGAUAUUUGCGCAUAUCGGACUGUAACUUCCUGAAUUAUGGCCGCCCCUGAUUGUACGAAAAAUCGCGUUUUUAGCUUGUAGACCCUAUAGAGGUCAUAAUUUUUAUCUGAUUUAAAAAAACGUAUUAUUAUAUCACCGUUACACCCUAAGGAUGGCCGAGUUCGAAUUUCGUGAAAAUCGGUCCAAACCUGACAGAUAAAAUGGCCGCCCUUCUUUCUCAAAUAGCGUAAAAAUAUGGUAUAUCAAGGUUGUGUACCCUAUAGAGGUCACAAUUUUAAUCCUAUUUGGAUGAAACUUGAAAUGUAAGUUUAUAACCCAAAGAUUUCGGUUCCUUUCGAUAUUCGCGCAUAUCGGACCGUAACUUCCUGAAUUAUGGGUCCUGAUUGUACGAAAAAUCGCGUUUUUUGGCUUGUGGACCCUAUAGAGGUCAUAAUUUUUAUCCGAUUUAAAAAUUUUUUUUUUAGUAUAUCACCGUUUCACCCUAAGGACGACUGGGUUCGAAUUUCGUAAAAAACAGCCCAAAACUGACAGACAAAAUGGCCGCCCUUCGUUCUCAAAUAGCGUAAAAAUAUGGUAUAUCAAGGUUGUUGACCCUAUAGAGGUCACAAUUUUUAUCCGAUUUUGUUGAAACUUGAAAUGUAAGUUUAUAACACAACGAUCCCGGUUCCUUUCGAUAUUUGCCCAUAUCGAAUUGUAAUUUCCUGAAUUAUGGCCCUUGAUUGUAGGGAAAAUCGCGUUUUUAGCUUGUGGACCCUAUAGAGGUCAUAAUUUUUAUCCGAUUUAAAAAAAAAACGUUUUAGUGUAUCACCGUUACACCCUAAGGACGGCUGAGUUCGAAUUUUGUGAAAAUCGGCCCAGAACUGACAGGCAAAAUGUCCGCCCCUAGUUCUAAAAUAGCGUAAAAAUAUGGUAUCAGGUAUAUCAAGGUUGUGGACCCUAUAGAGGUCACAAUUUUUAUCCGAUUUUGUUGAAACGUGAAAUGUAAGUUUAUAACCAAAAGAUCUCGGUUCCUUUCAAUAUUUGCGUAUAUCGAUUUGUAAUUUCCUGAAUUAUGGCCCUUGAUUGUUGGCAAAAUCACUUUCUUUUUAGCUUGUUCUCUAUCCAUCUCUCGAAAAUGUGGGCGUAUCCUGCCUGCCAGCCGCUGGUUACUUUAGCUGGUGGACGGUCACAAUUUUUAUCUGGUUAUGAUAAAACUUUGGGCUUGAAAUGUAUCUUUAUAACCGCAAGUAGUUCCUUUCGAUGUUUGUGCAUAUCAGAUGCAACUUCCUGGUUUAUGGGCCCUGACCUGAGCAUAGCUCCAACAUAAGGUCGUCGUGCACGGAGUCCUACUUCUCUUAGACGACGUCUUUUGGUGUUGGCUCUUACUGGUCCUUGUCUUCCGACGACUGCUGCACCUGUUCGAGUCGCUGGGCGGAAUCUGUCACGCAGGUGAGUGACCCAGAUGUAGCUGUCUUGAGCUACAUGUUGAAAACAUGCUUUUAAAGGGCUCACACACAAUGCUGCACGUGAAUAUUGGGUUUUUCAUGUGCAUCUCGUGCAAUUUUUUUUUUGCACACGGGCCGAUAUUUUUUUGCGUUUGGGAGCAUUGUGUGAAACAAUAGUUCAUAGUAUUGCAUAAUAUUAUACAUACAAAACCACCUAGUAAUAAAAUAUUUGGGAAAAAAAAGUGAUGCGUUUUCCAUGGCGCUCAGUAUACAAGGAGUGUCAAAUGCAAUUUCUUUAAAUAAUGGUAUGCUUGCUUUGUAGCUUAAUACUUUCUUUUUUAGAAAAAUUCAAGUAUCAGAUACCAAUAUAUACUACAUCUUCAAACCUUGAAGGACAGUCCAAUCUCAUACUUGGUGAGCAGCACAGCAGACUCCAUAACAACACCCAUUAUUGGCCCUCAACUUAUUGGAUCCCCACUUGCAUAUCAUCAAAUGCCAAGAUGUCCAUGAUUGAAAUCCUGAAAAAUAUAUACAGUAAAUAGAUUACAAUAUGUAUUUCAAGCACCCCUUAUGCAAGUGACAACUCAACCGAGAACAGAGAACCCUGAUAAAUGUGGUGAAAUAGUUUUUCCAAAACCAGUUGAUGUACAUUUAGAUUUAAAUCAGAUAGAAAAGAUGAAAGUUGAGUGGAAAUAAAUAGAUGUAAAGCAAGAUGAAGCCUUAAAAAUAGAGAGAUUUACAAGAAAUAAUAAUAAGACCUGGAUGAACGAAAGAAAGUGUGGUGUUACUGCCUCAAAUUUUGGAGCUAUUAUGAAAAGAAAGAAUAAACAAUUCAUUUUUAAAAACACAUUUGACAAAGGUGCUACACCAGAUGCAAUUGUUUGUAUUAAAGGCGAGACUUGGCUCGUUAAAAUUAAAUGUCCUUCUCCGCUUGAGAUUUGACACUUACAGAAGCAUGUAAUAAACUGAAAGAUUUCUUUAUAAUUCAAAAUGAUGAUGAAGAUGAAUAUAAAUUGUCUAGAAACCAUAUUCACUGGUUUCAGAUUCAGGGACAACUUCUCAUAACUGGGGCACAAUUUUGCAACUUUGUCACUUUUACAAGACAGGAUUCUGCAUAGAGAGAAUAUAUCCCGAAAAAGAAACCAUGCAGCAACUUGUUUCAAAAUAAUCAUGUUUUUAUGUUGAACAUUUACAGCCAUAUCUUAUAAAAAAUCUACAAGUCUAUAAAAUGAGUUUAACUAACCUGCGAUAGCAUCAACUAUUUUCUCUGUCUGUACCAUUUUAUUAAUCAAAGUAUUUUCUUCACAGUUUUUAUUCUCAAUUUGAUUUGACUUUAUAGAGCUCUGUAAAGAAAUUCAUAACUAUAUAA